rnacentral:lncRNA from 1 species
ACGGGCGCCGAGAGGGCCACGCCGGAGCCCCAGUGUCAGCCCCAGUCCGGCCCCUGCUCCAGGAGUGACCCAGGAAGAGGCCCUCGGCAACAAGGGCACAGAGCAGCUACUGCGGCCCUCCCAAUGGCGCAUGGACUUCCGCGAGAGCCCGCCCGGCACCCGUACUCUGUCCGUCAGGAAAAUAAGCACCACCCCCGCCACGCUUCCUAGGAGGGCAGCACAAACGGUCCGUGGAGGAUUAGUGCCUGCGCUCAGAGCCCCCAGAGGAGACAGCCGCAUUACGCCUCCCACCACCCCUUCCCUCCUUCUUUGUUUCCGGGUUGGAGUUACGAAAUUGAGUUUCCCAGGUCAAAGAUUUGGAGAGAUUUUCCCCCUAUUUAAUCUGCUGUGUUUCAUCCCACUGAAUUCUCAGCCCACAAAAGAUCAUUUAAGUAGCACUUCAUUAAGAAUGAUAAAGACAUUGGGAGAAGCCAGGAUGCUCUCAACCAACAUUUCCAUCAUCUAUCAUCUGGCUUGAUAAGUAGCACUUCCAAUGUGAGGCAUCAGGGUGUUCUUCAACUUCAACGAAGAAUGAUCUCUGGGCAGGAGCCCUGGUGUAUCACAUCCAGUGCUGUCUCCUUACUAACCUUUAACAUCUGAAGACCUUCCACCAGCGCAUCUUGAUCAACUAAUAGACAUUUACCAGUGU